GGCUCAGGAUGAACGCUGGCGGCGUGCUUAACACAUGCAAGUCGAACGAUGAUCCGGUGCUUGCACCGGGGAUUAGUGGCGAACGGGUGAGUAACACGUGAGUAACCUGCCCUUAACUCUGGGAUAAGCCUGGGAAACUGGGUCUAAUACCGGAUAUGACUCCUCAUCGCAUGGUGGGGGGUGGAAAGCUUUUGUGGUUUUGGAUGGACUCGCGGCCUAUCAGCUUGUUGGUGAGGUAAUGGCUCACCAAGGCGACGACGGGUAGCCGGCCUGAGAGGGUGACCGGCCACACUGGGACUGAGACACGGCCCAGACUCCUACGGGAGGCAGCAGUGGGGAAUAUUGCACAAUGGGCGGAAGCCUGAUGCAGCGACGCCGCGUGAGGGAUGACGGCCUUCGGGUUGUAAACCUCUUUCAGUAGGGAAGAAGCGAGAGUGACGGUACCUGCAGAAGAAGCGCCGGCUAACUACGUGCCAGCAGCCGCGGUAAUACGUAGGGCGCAAGCGUUAUCCGGAAUUAUUGGGCGUAAAGAGCUCGUAGGCGGUUUGUCGCGUCUGCCGUGAAAGUCCGGGGCUCAACUCCGGAUCUGCGGUGGGUACGGGCAGACUAGAGUGAUGUAGGGGAGACUGGAAUUCCUGGUGUAGCGGUGAAAUGCGCAGAUAUCAGGAGGAACACCGAUGGCGAAGGCAGGUCUCUGGGCAUUAACUG
rnacentral:rRNA from 1 species